UACGGAAGGCAGCAGUGGGGAAUAUUGCGCAAUGGGCGAAAGCCUGACGCAGCGACGCCGCGUGAGGGACGACGGCCUUCGGGUUGUAAACCUCUUUCAGCUCUGACGAAGCGAAAGUGACGGUAGGAGCAGAAGAAGCACCGGCCAACUACGUGCCAGCAGCCGCGGUAAUACGUAGGGUGCAAGCGUUGUCCGGAAUUAUUGGGCGUAAAGAGCUCGUAGGCGGUCUGUCGCGUCGAAUGUGAAAACCCGGGGCUCAACCCCGGGCCUGCAUUCGAUACGGGCAGACUAGAGUUCGGUAGGGGAGACUGGAAUUCCUGGUGUAGCGGUGAAAUGCGCAGAUAUCAGGAGGAACACCGGUGGCGAAGGCGGGUCUCUGGGCCGAUACUGACGCUGAGGGAGCGAAAGCGUGGGGAGCGAAACAGGGAUUAGAUACCCGU
rnacentral:rRNA from 1 species